rnacentral:rRNA from 1 species
AUGUUGCAGGAGGAUGGGGGUAUUGAUGAAGAUGUGAACCAUCGAAUCAAAGCCGGAUGGAUGAAGUGGCGCCAAGCUUCUGGCAUUCUCUGUGACAAGAGAGUGCCACAAAAGCUAAAAGGCAAGUUCUACAGGACGGCGGUUCGACCCGCAAUGUUGUAUGGCGCGGAGUGUUGGCCGACUAAAAGACGACAUGUUCAACAGUUAGGUGUGGCGGAGAUGCGUAUGUUGAGAUGGAUGUGUGGCCACACGAGGAAGGAUCGAGUCCGGAAUGAUGAUAUACGAGAUAGAGUUGGGGUAGCACCAAUUGAGGAGAAGCUUGUCCAACAUCGUUUGAGAUGGUUUGGGCAUAUUCAGCGCAGGCCUCCAGAAGCUCCAGUGCAUAGCGGACGGCUAAAGCGUGCGGAGAAUGUCAAGAGAGGGCGGGGUCGACCGAUUUUGACAUGGGAGGAGUCCGUUAAGAGAGACCUGAAGGAUUGGAGUAUCGACAAAGAGCUAGCUAUGGACAGGGGUGCGUGGAAGCUUGCUAUCCAUGUGCCAGAGCCAUGA